CGAACGGGUGAGUAAUACAUCGGAACGUGCCCAGUAGUGGGGGAUAACCCGGCGAAAGCCGGACUAAUACCGCAUACGACCUACGGGUGAAAGCGGGGGAUCGCAAGACCUUGCGCUAUUGGAGCGGCCGAUGUCAGAUUAGCUAGUUGGUGGGGUAAAAGCCUACCAAGGCGACGAUCUGUAGCUGGUCUGAGAGGACGACCAGCCACACUGGGACUGAGACACGGCCCAG
rnacentral:rRNA from 1 species